CCGCCUUUUCGCUAUCGGCUUUCAGCAGGGCUUAAUAGUCAUUUCAGGAAAGAGCUCUAUGGAGGGUAAAUUUUAAUACUCGUAUGACUUGAGGUUUCUUGGACUGCGGCGAGGAAUGGGAGUGUCACCUGCUAUUUGCUUGUUUGUCACACAUUGCGACUCAGCCCUGGCAGGCUGAACAGAGGGAAACCUAACAAGUUCUGUAUGGCUCACUGCUUAUCAGGAGCAGGCACCAGCAGCCAUAUUGUAGGUCAGCAAAACAAAGAAACAACAAAAAGAGGCUUUUUGUGAGGGAUGAAAAGGGUUUGGAAGUGUCUGAGCUGCAGUGUCACUGCUGCCGCCAGUGACUUCUUGACUGCAUUCGUUUUUGAAAAACCAUUUUUUUAAAAAAUACAGAGAUACCUCAGGUUACAGAUGCUUAAAGUUACAGACGCUUCAGGUUACAGAUGCUUCAGCUUACAGACACUUCAGGUUACAGACUCCGCUAACCCAGAAAUAGUGCUUCAGGUUAAGAACUUUGCUUCAGGAUGAGAACAGAAAUCAUGUGGCGGCAGCGGGAGGCCCCAUUAGCUAAAGUGGUACCUCAGGUUAAGAACAGUUUCAGGUUAAGAACGGACCGGAAUGAAUUAAGUUCUUAACCUGAGGUACCACACACACUCUCUCUCUCUGUGUAUAUAUAUAUAUACACAUAUAUAUAUUGCCUGCAGGCGGAUGUUUGUCACUGGGUCCUUCCCAAAAUCUCUAUUUUAAUGGCCUUUUAAAAAGCUUGUAUAAAGUUUAGGUGCAGUCUGUGCAAAAAGUGACCCUUUCUUGAGAGAAAUGAAUCAAGUUUAUAAUACUGGAGCCUCGCAGCUUGUAAAGUGAGAUAAGAGUCUGUCAGUGCUUUCAUUACUCAGGCACAAAUUUCCUUUACAAUCUGCACUGUAGUCUUUACUGUUCCAGCAUGGCAUUCCUAUUCUCCUUUUCAGUAGGCUACGUUUAUUUUGCCUGCUACAAUCCCAGUUAUGGGAGAUAAUGGAACAAAUGAGAAAUGGUUUCAUACACCAAAAACUCUAUUAUAAAGCCUCAAAGGGGUUUGGGCCUUACAUUUCCAAAACAGUUUGCCUAGAAGUAAGUGGCAUUGAAACUUACUUCUGAGAAAACAGGGUUAGGAGGACUGUGCAGUAAGAGUCCAAUUCCUUUGCUCCAUUACAUACCCUCUAACAUUUCUCUGAUGAAAACAAGGAUGUCCUAUUUAAUAAUAAUAAUAAUAAUAAUAAUAAUAAUAAUAAUACCCAGUCCACCUGCCUGGGCUGCCCCAACCGCUCUGGGUGGCUUCCAACAUAUUAAAACAUAAUAAAACUUUAAACAUUAAGAAAAUGUCAAUAUACAGGGCUGCCUUCAGAUAUCUUCUAAAGGUUGUAUAGUUACAUAUCUCUUUCGCUCGGGAGUUCCAUAACUCCAUACCCUCCAACAUUUCUCUGAUGAAAAUAGGGACAUCCUAAGGAAAAGUGGGACAUUUCAGGAUCUAAUCAGAAACCAGGAUGGCUUCUGUAAAUCCUGGACUGUCCCUGGAAAAUAGGGACACUUGGAGGAUCUGCCAUGAUAACUUCAACUAGCUGGAAAAUCAUCUCCUAAGAAUCGCACCAAGAUAUGAAGAUAAACUUACUCACAGAACCUCAUCAGGGUUCCCCCCCACCCCAUUAUGGAGUCUGAUGCUGUGAAUACAUGAGGGUACAAAAGUUACUAUGCUUGAAAGUAACUGUGAUGAGUUUGGUGGUUUUCAUGUGGACGAUGUGGAAGAGACAGCACUGAACAUGAAGGGCUGUGGUUGCCACUUGUGCAUUUAGCCAUGUCACAGAUAACCAGGACACAAGGAAGGGUGCUUUCAGUAGCUGAUAUAGUAUCAUGGAACUCCCUUCACCUUUUGUGGAUUGUCUAAAUCAGCUCAUGAGCAUUUUUGGAGAUGUGGAAGGCUGUGUUCAUAGUCCUGCUGUAAGAACACUGUUGUCCCUCAUAGGGCCAAAUCUUAUGCCUCCUGCUGCAUAUUAUGUUGGCUCAAGGAAGAAAUAGGUAAAAAAGGAGAAUUCCAGGAUGCCAAGAUCCAAGUUUGGGGCAAAUACGCUUUGGUGAGAGAACUCCGGCAGAGAUUUAAAGUCACCAAAUAUGCAGCAAAGCAAAGUGUAGAAAUAUAGGCUGUUACCAGGGGUCAGCAAACUGUUUCAGCAGGGGGCCAGUCCACUGUCCCUCAGACCUUGUGGUGGGCCGGACUAUAUUUUUUUUUGGGGGGGGGGAAUGAACAAAUUCAUAUGCCCCACAAAAACCCAGAGAUGCAUUUUAAAUAAAAGCACAUAUUCUACUCAUGUAAAAACACGCUGAUUCCUGGACCGUCCACGGGCCGCAUCUAGAAGGCGAUUGGGCUGGAUCCGGCCCCCGGGCCUUAGUUUGCCUAUCCAUGUGUUAGACCUUUAAAAUAUGCCCUUUCAAGUGAGUUCCAAGGUUUCCCUCUUCCCCUACCUUAGAAAAAAGACCAGUUUGGUAAGUUAAAAAAUGCUUUAAUUAAAAGCUCUCAAUAGGUCAGACUCGUGUGCUUCAGAAAAGUUGCACAGGCAUUAAAACUUGGGUUAGUGCUGAAAAUUUCUAAAUUUUUGGUAUAGAAACUCAAGAAUGGCUGAAGAAAGCCAUGCGGUUUGAGCUUGAGCAACCAGCUCAAACCUCAUUAUAUGCUGAGCUUCUCAGGCAGACUGGAAGGAGAAACUUUGUGCCUUUUCAGUCUUCAAUCACACUCAAUUACAGUAAGCUAUGAUCCAAACCUGCGCAUUAACCUGCAAGGCAAAUAGGUAAAGCUAAAGCUAAUGGAACCCUGGAUGAUUAAGUCCAGUCAAAGGUGACUAUGGGGUGCGGUGCUCAUCUUGUUUUCAGGUCGAGGAAGCAGACGUUUGUCCACAGAUAGCUUUCCUGGUCAUGUGGCCAGCAUGAUGAAACCACUUCUAGCACAAUGGAACACCGUGGCGGAAACCAGAGCGCACAGAAACGCUGUUUACCUUCCCACCGCAGUGGUACCUAUUUAUCUACUUGCACUGGCAUACUUUCGAACUGCUAGGUUGGCAGAAGCUGGGAAGCUAGUUCCUCUCAAGGUGAGGGGAAGUGGAUAUUGCUAAGCCUAGCAGGAAAGCUUACUCUGUGGUAUUAACCCCUUCGUGUUAAUUAGAUUUACCGUAAGUAUGUUGGUUAUAUGAGGCUGAUUAUCCCACAGAUUAUAUAUCUCAGUGGAACAGUUCUGCCAAAAGACAGUUUCAAAUCCCUGUUUAAUGAGCUCCUAAUCACCUCAUACUGUAUCUUUCAAUGAAUAUAUUUGCUAUAGCAAAAAAAGAACCCUGUUACGUUCUGUAUAAUCAAAUUUUGCUUUGGCCACAGCCACACAGUUCCGACCCAAGACAACUUUCUGCCUGAUGUGGAGUUCAAAGGGACCCUCUCCUCUCCCCACUGAGUCCCAGCUAAGACCCUUAUAAGUUUUUCCUGCGCCUUAUGAUACCAAUCCCAGUCUUCUUCUGCCCCCUCUCAUGGUAUCACCUAAAGCAGGUUCUUUUAUCCUGGUGCUUUGCAAGAAUGGCCCUGUGGUCACAUGCCAGGUUUGGCAUGAAUCAGGGACAGAAAAUGUCUGUGUACACACUACCAUAUUAAAAUGCAGCUGGGGCGUUAUUAUUUUUCCAGUUCGGACCAAAACUGGUUUGGAGAGUAGUGCAGCAACAUGCAGUAUGUUAUAAGAAACAGCAGGUUAGAUACAUCCUAGAUGUGGAUUGUGUCUACUGUUGUGUGUACACUCUUCCAAAACCAACAGUGGGAGCACACUGGAUGCAGAGUAAAUAAAUGGGAGCGUGUGGCCACAGUCCUAUGCUUGGGGUCCUUGUUCUCCAGUCUUUGUGUCUGUGUGCACUUUCUGCUUUACCAUGCAGUAUUUCCAGCGGAUGAAACCGAGAUCUGAUACUCUGCUGACACCCAGUAUUAAGUGCUCAGGUACUGAGUGUACAAUGAGAACGCAAUGAGAGCAGCAUCCUGUAAUCUACUUGUAGAUGUUCCUUCUCUCUUUCUCCCAUCCCCCACCCCUUCCCACCCCCAUUCCAGGAGCCUAUUAAAUUAAUGAGACAGAAGUCAGUGCGCUGCAGCAGUCAACAUGUUAUUGGUGGUAUAGCUCUGGUGCCGUUACAAUGUGCCUGUUUUUUCUCCUGGGACAUUUAAUUUCCGCUUCUCAAAUGAGCUGCAAAGCUGUGAAGCCUGGCAGUGUUCUUUCUAGACACUCUGUGAUGCAGAUAAUGAGGGUACUGAUAGGUGCCUAGGAGACUGUGAUGGCUCUAAGCACAGCUAUGGUCUGAUAAUGCUUUAUGCCAGUAGUGUCACAGCGGAACCACUAUCAUCCCUCAAGGAAUGGUUCAUCUUUAUGUGUAAUGCAGCAGCUGUCACCUAAAUGGCUAAUGGGGAAGCAAAGUAGAACCUUACUGCUAGUAAUUUUGUCACUUAAUAAUUUUUAAGAGGAUCAAACUUCAGGAACGCCUGCAAAUUCUAACAGAAGUCUCCCUCCCUCCUUGCCUCCCCAGCACCGCCCUCCCCUCCAAAUCCCACACUUUUGCUAUUAUGAUUUUGUUUGCAGUGGAUUAAAUGUAAAUUGAGAAAUCUGUGAUACGACUCUGUGCAGAUCUAAUUUAGUAUAAUUUGAAUAGCCAAGUAAUUAAAAUGUAUUAUAGGUUGAAGAUGCUGAGAUGGUGGAGUGCCUACAUUUAAGAGGAAGAUUUAUUGGGCUCGCAGCAACCACGGUGAACCUUCUACAACCACAUUAGCUAACAUCUGUCGAGAUGCAGGGCCGUGAGAUGUAUGCAUGCACCAAGUGUGCGUCCGUACGGGGUUCGAGCCGCAAAAAAACGGGGACGUGGAGUGCGGUUUUGCAAAAGGGGCUGUGCAAUAAUGUUCCGUGUGCCUCUGUGAACAUAUAGAACUGAAUUAUAGCCUUGCACCAGGCUUGUUUGUACAGCGAAAAAUAAAUCUGUGGC
rnacentral:lncRNA from 1 species